rnacentral:rRNA from 1 species
CCUACGGUGUGCUGCAGUGGGGAAUAUUGGACAAUGGGCGAAAGCCUGAUCCAGCCAUGCCGCGUGUGUGAAGAAGGCCUUCGGGUUGUAAAGCACUUUCAGUGGGGAAGAAAGCCUUGGGGCUAAUACCCUCGAGGAAGGACAUCACCCACAGAAGAAGCACCGGCUAACUCCGUGCCAGCAGCCGCGGUAAUACGGAGGGUGCGAGCGUUAAUCGGAAUUACUGGGCGUAAAGCGCGCGUAGGCGGUCUGAUAAGCCGGUUGUGAAAGCCCCGGGCUCAACCUGGGAACGGCAUCCGGAACUGUCAGGCUAGAGUGCAGGAGAGGAAGGUAGAAUUCCCGGUGUAGCGGUGAAAUGCGUAGAGAUCGGGAGGAAUACCAGUGGCGAAGGCGGCCUUCUGGACUGACACUGACGCUGAGGUGCGAAAGCGUGGGUAGCAAACAGGAUUAGAUACCCGGGUAGUC